rnacentral:lncRNA from 1 species
GUACACCCACCACAUGUUCCAAAACCACAUCCACCUUAUGUUCCAAAACCACCAAUUGUUAAACCUCCAAUAGUACAUCCACCUUACGUACCAAAACCCCCAGUUGUGAAACCACCACCAUAUGUCCCUAAACCACCUGUUGUGAGACCACCCUAUGUUCCUAAACCACCAGUUGUACCUGUAACACCACCUUAUGUUCCUAAGCCACCAAUUGUUUUCCCACCACAUGUUCCUCUACCUCCAGUUGUACCAUCACCACCACCUUAUGUACCAACACCUCCAAUUGUGAAACCACCAAUUGUUUUUCCACCACAUGUUCCUCUACCUCCAGUUGUGCCUGUAACACCACCUUAUGUGCAACCACCACCUAUUGUAACUCCACCAACACCAACACCUCCAAUUGUGACACCACCAACACCACCUAGUGAAACACCUUGUCCUCCACCACCACUUGUACCUUAUCCACCACCACCAGCACAACAAACAUGUUCCAUUGAUGCUUUGAAGUUGGGUGCAUGUGUUGAUGUGCUUGGUGGACUCAUACAUAUUGGUAUAGGUGGAAGUG